GACGAACGCCGGCGGCGUGCUUAACACAUGCAAGUCGAACGGAAAGGCCCUGCUUUUGUGGGGUGCUCGAGUGGCGAACGGGUGAGUAACAAGUGAGUAACCUGCCCUUGACUUUGGGAUAACUUCAGGAAACUGGGGCUAAUACCGGAUAGGAGCUCCUGCUGCAUGGAGGGGGUUGGAAAGUUUCGGCGGUUGGGGAUGGACUCGCGGCUUAUCAGCUUGUUGGUGGGGUAGUGGCUUACCAAGGCUUUGACGGGUAGCCGGCCUGAGAGGGUGACCGGCCACAUUGGGACUGAGAUACGGCCCAGACUCCUACGGGAGGCAGCAGUGGGGAAUAUUGCACAAUGGGCGGAAGCCUGAUGCAGCAACGCCGCGUGCGGGAUGACGGCCUUCGGGUUGUAAACCGCUUUCGCCUGUGACGAAGCGUGAGUGACGGUAAUGGGUAAAGAGGCACCGGCUAACUACGUG
rnacentral:rRNA from 1 species